rnacentral:rRNA from 1 species
UAUGGGGGGGGCAAGCGUUGUUCGGAAUUACUGGGCGUAAAGGGCUCGUAGGCGGCCAACUAAGUCAGACGUGAAAUCCCUAGGCUCAACCUAGGAACUGCGUCUGAUACUGGAUGGCUUGAAUCCGGGAGAGGGAUGCAGAAUUCCAGGUGUAGCGGUGAAAUGCGUAGAUAUCUGGAGGAAUACCGGUGGCGAAGGCGGCAUCCUGGACCGGCAUUGACGCUGAGGAGCGAAAGCCAGGGGAGCAAACGGG